AGAUUGAACGCUGGCGGCAUGCCUUACACAUGCAAGUCGAACGGCAGCACGGGAGCAAUCCUGGUGGCGAGUGGCGAACGGGUGAGUAAUAUAUCGGAACGUGCCCAGUCGUGGGGGAUAACGCAGCGAAAGCGUGGCUAAUACCGCAUACGCCCGUACGGGGGGAAAGGGGGGAUCGCAAGACCUCUCACUAUUGGAGCGGCCGAUAUCAGAUUAGCUAGUUGGUAGAGGUAAAGGUCUCAACCGAAGGCGACGAUCUGUAGCGUUGGUUGAGGAGGACGACCAGCCACACGUGGGACUGACGACGACCGGCCAGACCUCGACGGAGAC
rnacentral:rRNA from 1 species